rnacentral:pre_miRNA from 10 species
GCCCGGGCCGGGGGCUGCAACACAGGACAUGGGACCAGCCUCUCAAACCCCUCGUGUCUUGUGUUGCAGCCAGUGGAACG